GAGUGCGGGUCCUUUGGGCCCAACCUCCCAUCCGUGUCUAUUAUACCCUGUUGCUUCGGCGGGCCCGCCGCUUGUCGGCCGCCGGGGGGGCGCCUUUGCCCCCCGGGCCCGUGCCCGCCGGAGACCCCAACACGAACACUGUCUGAAAGCGUGCAGUCUGAGUUGAUUGAAUGCAAUCAGUUAAAACUUUCAACAAUGGAUCUCUUGGUUCCGGCAUCGAUGAAGAACGCAGCGAAAUGCGAUAACUAAUGUGAAUUGCAGAAUUCAGUGAAUCAUCGAGUCUUUGAACGCACAUUGCGCCCCCUGGUAUUCCGGGGGGCAUGCCUGUCCGAGCGUCAUUGCUGCCCUCAAGCCCGGCUUGUGUGUUGGGUCGCCGUCCCCCUCUCCGGGGGGACGGGCCCGAAAGGCAGCGGCGGCACCGCGUCCGAUCCUCGAGCGUAUGGGGCUUUGUCACAUGCUCUGUAGGAUUGGCCGGCGCCUGCCGACGUUUUCCAACCAUUUUUUCCAGGUUGACCUCGGAUCAGGUAGGGAUACCCGCUGAACUUAAGCAUAUCAAUAAGCGGAGGAAAAGAAACCAACCGGGAUUGCCUCAGUAACGGCGAGUGAAGCGGCAAGAGCUCAAAUUUG
rnacentral:rRNA from 1 species